CACCAUUUGCGGGGGCGUGGCCCAAUCCAAUCGCCCACACUCCGCAACCCUCCCUCCCUCCUCAAUCUCUCUCCCUCAGCCGCCACAAACCCUAGGUCCUCCCCUUCUGCCCUGCUCUCCACUGCGCCGCCUCCUCCUCCCCUUCACCAUUCCCUCCAGCGGCAGGCACAGGGAGACAACGGCGGCGCUUGAUUUCAUCCGCCCUGCUCCCCUCCCUCUCCAUUGCGCCUCGGCCUCGGCCACCCCGUGCUCUGCCGGCGCCCGUCGGCCUCGAUCCAGCCUCAGCAGGAGGAGCUCGUCGUCGAGACACGAGGAGGGGAGCAGCAGGAUACAGGAGCAUGGCCUUCUUCUCGCGCUGCAGCCGCCGGCCUUGUCGUGCUCGAGGAGGAGGAGCAGCAGGAGGGGUGCACCCAGCCACCAAGGUAGCCGUCGUCGAGGGCUUCUUACACCUGAACCUCGACCUCCACGGCGCUGGCGUCCAGCCACUCGAGUUCAAGGGAAGGAGAGGAGGAUGACGCCCAGACAUGGAGAGGAACAGCAGUAGCUCAAGAAAAAUGAAGCAUGACAAGCUGGAGAAGCUCGCAUGGACAUCCAAUUUCAUGUACCACUCAACUGAACCGAGUUACUUGUGGAGACUAUAAGAAGAAUUUAUAGGAAGAGAUUGAUCAAGAAGAGCAAGGAGCAGGCUGACACCCGUAGUUGUUUGGCAUCAAAUUCAGAAGAUACACAUCAUAAGAUUGAAGCAAUGCUACCUGAACCAAAGGGUUGUACGCCCACCAUUAUUAAUAUUCCAUACUAUUCGUGUUCUUCAGAUCCCAAUAAUUUAUUUGGUCUUGCUUUUGACACAAAACACAAGUAUAGGCAAAGAGAAGACGAGGUCGAACUCCAACACCGGAAGGUAUCUUGGCACCAAACCAUCAUGAGGAGAAGGGGAUGUGUUGCUGUACAUGAGAUAAGCAGCCCAGUUCAGAAGUGCUUUAUAGAGGUCCUGUAAGCUUUCUAGACAUACAUGUUGUUUCCAGUCUCUCUCGGCUUCCCCAAUCCUAGAGGUAAUAAUAUGAUUUCUUUAUGUUGUUUGCCCAAAUUAAGAAGUGAACUUUUGCUGCAUAUUUGCUCGAUGUGUGUCUUGUAAACUCUAAGCUUUCUAGGCGUACAUGUGCACAUGUAUUUGUCAGUUACUAAUAUGAAUUCUGGAUGUUGUUUGCCGAAAUUCAGAAUUGAACUUUUGCUGAA